UACGUAGGGUGCGAGCGUUGUCCGGAAUUAUUGGGCGUAAAGAGCUCGUAGGCGGUCUGUCGCGUCGGUCGUGAAAACUUGGGGCUUAACCCUGAGCUUGCGGUCGAUACGGGCAUGACUGGAGUUCGGCAGGGGAGACUGGAGUUCCUGGUGUAGCGGUGAAAUGCGCAGAUAUCAGGAGGAACACCGGUGGCGAAGGCGGGUCUCUGGGCCGAUACUGACGCUGAGGAGCGAAAGCGUGGGGAGCGAACAGG
rnacentral:rRNA from 1 species